rnacentral:misc_RNA from 1 species
GAUUGAAGCAGUUAGAAAAUCCUGCCCUCGCUGUUACACCCUACCCUCUAUGAAAUGCAAUUACGCUCUUCAUGGCAUGUAAAUCAGUCUCACAUUUAAAAACAAUCGACUCGCUCAAAGCUAUUAAUUGUCUAUGCUAUCGAGAGAUGGCUUAUAAGUGUUGUGGGCCUUAUGCUCUAUUAUUGUGAGCUAGAGUGAAUUUUGG